rnacentral:tRNA from 1 species
GGGCUCGUAGUCUAGCGGCUAUGACACUGCCUCGACAUGGCAGAGGUCGCCGGUUCGAAUAUGCUUGAGAACA